rnacentral:rRNA from 1 species
UACGUAGGGGGCCAGCGUUGUCCGGAAUCAUUGGGCGUAAAGCGCGCGUAGGCGGUCAGGUAAGUCCGGUGUGAAAGUCAAAGGCUCAACCUUUGAAUGCCGCUGGAAACUGCCUGACUUGAGUCCGGUAGGGGCGAGUGGAAUUCCUGGUGUAGCGGUGAAAUGCGCAGAUAUCAGGAGGAACACCAAUGGCGAAGGCAGCUCGCUGGAACGGUGCUGACGCUGAGGAGCGAAAGCGUGGGGAGCGAACAGGA